AGUACCUCUGUUACUUCUUGGCUUCCUAGGUUAUUUUCAGACCAUGCGGUAUCGCCUUGCUGAGUCAAAGUAUUCUGUUAUUUUAUUUUGGGGGUCCCAAUUAUCUAAAUAGUUACUAGCACACUAUAGAGCUCAUAAUACAUGUUUGAAUCCAUGACAGAACCAUGAGAUAUUCCAAUUGUCAAUGCUAAUUCAACUUCAGAACUGCCAAC